rnacentral:rRNA from 1 species
GCCAGCAGCCGCGGUAAUACGUAGGGGGCUAGCGUUGUCCGGAUUUACUGGGCGUAAAGGGUGAGUAGGCGGUAAUGUGUGUCAGAUGUUUAAUCUAUGAGCUCAACUCAUAUCAGCAUUUGAAACUACAUAACUUGAGUGCAGGAGAGGUAAGUGGAAUUCCUAGUGUAGCGGUGGAAUGCGUAGAUAUUAGGAGGAACACCGGUGGCGAAGGCGACUUACUGGACUGUAACUGACGCUGAGUCACGAAAGCGUGGGGAGCGAACAGGAUUAGAUACCCUGGUAGUCCACGCUGUAAACGAUGAGUGCUAGGUGUUGGCUGAGAAGUCAGUGCCGAAGUAAACGCAAUAAGCACUCCGCCUGGGGAGUACGGUCGCAAGACUGAAACUCAAAGGAAUUGACGGGGACCCGCACAAGCAGCGGAGCAUGUGGUUUAAUUCGACGCAACGCGAAGAACCUUACCAAGGCUUGACAUCCCCUUGACAGAUGCAGAGAUGUGUCCUCUCCUUCGGGAGCAAGGGAGACAGGUGGUGCAUGGUUGUCGUCAGCUCGUGUCGUGAGAUGUUGGGUUAAGUCCCGCAACGAGCGCAACCCUUGUCAUUAGUUGCCAGCAGAAGAUGGGCACUCUAAUGAGACUGCCGGUGAUAAACCGGAGGAAGGUGGGGAUGACGUCAAAUCAUCAUGCCCCAUAUGUCUUGGGCUACACACGUGCUACAAUGGUCGGAACAAAGGGAAGCGAAGGAGCGAUCCGGAGCAAAACCUCAUAAACCGAUCCCAGUUCGGAUUGCAGGCCGCAACUCGCCUGCAUGAAGUCGGAGUUGCUAGUAAUCGCGAAUCAGAACGUCGCGGUGAAUGCGUUCCCGGGUCUUGUACACACCGCCCGUCACACCAUGGAAGUUGAUAAUACCCAAAGUCGAUGAGCUAACCGUAAGGAGGCAGUCGCCUAAGGUAGGAUCAAUGACUGGGGUGAAGUCGUAACAAGGUAACCA